CAAAAUCCAUAAACCCGAACCCGCCUCCCCCUCCUUGCCCGGACGUUAAACGCCGGCACUUCUGGUGGGGUUUGGUUUCUGCAGCAGCGAUGGGGAAGAACAAGCGAGCCAAAGAUCGAGCUCCCGGCGCUCACUCGCCUUCCACCGUCUUCUUCUCCAACUUGCCUUACUCCUUCACCAAUGCUCAGCUCAAGGAGACGUUCGGCAACGUCGGUCCGAUCGGGCGAUGUUUCAAUGUGACCAAGAAAGGUGAGGGAAUGUGAUGAUAUCUACACCGGGGGGCGCUUGCGUGAGGGUUAUACUUCUUCUAUCAAAUGGCUGGGUCGCAGGGACCGUCAGAGUUGGUGGUCUUGUAAGUGCUAAAAUGGCGGACCAGGUUCAUAGUAAGGCAAAGGAGAUUGGGAGUUUGGGACAGCGUGUUCUCUGUCUCAUCCACUUCCUGAAAAGGAUCUUCGCCAACUAUUAAAAACAUGCCGAAUGGUGAUAUAUUAAAGGGCUUGAUGAGAUCUCAAACCUCAUCUGUACCGGUUGAGUGGAAUGUCAUCAGUCAAUGUGUGAGCAACUAACUUGCAGGUGUGAAUUGACUCGACAACUAAGUGCACAUAAGCAUAUUUGCCUUUUUUUUCCUGGUGGAAGCAACUAUGGUAGCGUCAUUUACAACCAACACGGUGCCGGUACCUACUCUUCUUCUGCCUUCCCUACGCCUAGCGUUGUUUGUGCACGCUAUUCUUUCAUCAUUGCAGUCAUUAUCAGAACCCUCCCUAGGAGCUCUCUGUUGCCAGCACUUCUUGCACCAGCAAGAAUAUCUCCUCCUUCGCCAUAACCUUGUUGGCAGUGCCCCACUAGUAAUGGCUCUGUAACCACAACUUGACGAUGAACUGUGGUGCCCCGGAGACCAGUUGGUACAAUCCUCCUGAUGUGAUGCAAAUAUCUACUAAGUAGAGGACAGAAUAAUGGAUAUGUGCCUUCAAGAAUGAUGAAGCUAAUGAACUUUGUUGGGGAAGAGGGAAGUUGUGAAUAUUUCCUCUGAUCUCUGUUAUUUGCACAUUCGAUAUGAUGCAAAGUGCAUUCAGCAAGGAAAUGCAGGAUUUACAUUAGCUAUUCUAAACGGGAGAUUAGUAAAAAUAAACAUUACAAUUUUUAUGUUUCCUGUUAGAAGAUGUCUCGAAAGGGCAUGCCUCUAAGAAGUGUGGGCUAUGUUGCUGGUGGGAUCGACAAUGUUCCUUGUCAAACAUUGAAGUUGUGUUAUGUUGUAAUUUGGAAAUAUAACUUUCUUGGGUUGGGAUUC